AAAUACUGUAACUCCAGAAACCUGGCUGUCCUACAUUAAAAGUUGUAUUAAUUAAGUGGUCCAAAAGUAAACAAUUGUACUGCAGUUUUGCCAGAGCCACUUUCGUUCGCACCGGAAGCUUUAGAAGCCAAUCCAGACAAUGGUAAAAAAGGUCAUCAUGUAGCACUUGCUUUCGGUGCAAGUUUUGGUGCUGCAUUUGUUAUUGUUACUAUAGUUGGGCUUCUUGUUUGGUUUUUGGUAUAGACACAACCAACAGAUAUUCUUCGAUAUUAAUGAGCAUUACGAUCCAGAAGUCCGCCUUGGUCAUUUGAAAAGAUAUUCAUUCAAAGAGCUUCGUACUGCAACCGACCAUUUCAACCCAAAGCACAUUCUAGGAAGAGGAGGCUUUGGAAUAGUUUACAAAGCUUGCUUGAAUGACGGGUCCGUUGUGGCUGUUAAACGGCUAAAAGACUAUAAUGCGGCUGGUGGUGAGAUCCAAUUUCAAACGGAAGUUGAGACAAUAAGUUUGGCUGUUCACCGAAAUCUUCUGAGG